rnacentral:rRNA from 1 species
UAGGGGAUAUUGCACAAUGGGCGGAAGCCUGAUGCAGCAACGCCGCGUGAGUGAUGAAGGCCCUCGGGUCGUAAAACUCUUUUCAAGAGGAAGAGGAAGGACGGUACUCUUGGAAUAAGCCUCGGCUAACUACGUGCCAGCAGCCGCGGUAACACGUAGGAGGCGAGCGUUAUUCGGAUUUACUGGGCGUAAAGCACGUGUAGGCGGCUGAUCAAGUUGGAUGUGAAAGCUCCCGGCUUAACUGGGAGAGGACGUUCAAAACUGAACAGCUUGAGUAUGAGAGAGGAAAAUGGAAUUCCGGGUGUAGUGGUGAAAUGCGUAGAUAUCCGGAGGAACACCAGUGGCGAAGGCGAUUUUCCGGCUCAAGACUGACGCUCAGACGCGAAGGCUAGGGUAGCAAACGG